UUAAAUUGAAGAGUUUGAUCAUGGUUCAAAUUGAACGAUGGCGGCAGGCCAAACACAAGCAAGUCAAACAGUAACAAUAAACAACUCGCUGCUUAGACCACGCGAGACGGA
rnacentral:rRNA from 1 species